rnacentral:rRNA from 1 species
CUACGGGUGGCUGCAGUGGGGAAUUUUGCGCAAUGGGCGAAAGCCUGACGCAGCGACGCCGCGUGAGGGAUGAAGGUCUUCGUGAUCGUAAACCUCUGUCAGGAAGGAUUAAAUGCACAGAUGUUAAUAACAUCUGUGUUUGACUUAACUUCCAGAGGAAGCCCCGGCUAACUACGUGCCAGCAGCCGCGGUAAUACGUAGGGGGCAAGCGUUACUCGGAUUUAUUGGGCGUAAAGCGAAUGUAGGCGGUUUUGUAAGUCAGGGGUGAAAUCCCUCAGCUUAACUGAGGAAUUGCCCUUGAUACUACAUAACUUGAGGACAGGAGAGGAAAGUGGAAUUCCCGGUGUAGCGGUGGAAUGCGUAGAUAUCGGGAGGAACACCAGAGGCGAAGGCGGCUUUCUGGACUGAUCCUGACGCUGAGAUUCGAAAGCCAGGGGAGCAAACAGGAUUAGAUACCCCCGUAGUC